rnacentral:tRNA from 1 species
GUAGCCGUAGCUUAGUUUUGGUUAAAGCAACGCCUUGUGGCGGCGUGGACCGCCGGUUCGAUCCCGGUCGGCUACC